rnacentral:miRNA from 1 species
GUGCUUUAACGAAUGGUCCCAUUGAAUCCCAACAGCUCUGCGAAGUGUUGUUGGGAUUCAGCAGAACCAUUCAUGUAAAGUAA